rnacentral:rRNA from 1 species
GAUGAACGCUGGCGGCGUGCCUAAUACAUGCAAGUCGAGCGAACGGACGAGAAGCUUGCUUCUCUGAUGUUAGCGGCGGACGGGUGAGUAACACGUGGAUAACCUACCUAUAAGACUGGGAUAACUUCGGAAAACCGGAGCUAAUACCGGAUAAUAUUUUGAACCGCAUGGUUCAAAAGUGAAAGACGGUCUUGCUGUCACUUAUAGAUGGAUCCGCGCUGCAUUAGCUAGUUGGUAAGGUAACGGCUUACCAAGGCAACGAUGCAUAGCCGACCUGCGAGGGUGAUCGGCCACACUGGAACAGAGACACGGCCCAAACUCCUACGGGAGGCAGCAGUAGGGAAUCUUCCGCAAUGGGCGAAAGCCUGACGGAGCAACGCCGCGUGAGUGAUGAAGGUCUUCGGAUCGUAAAACUCUGUUAUUAGGGAAGAACAUAUGUGUAAGUAACUGUGCACAUCUUGACGGUACCUAAUCAGAAAGCCACGGCUAACUACGUG